rnacentral:misc_RNA from 1 species
GAACUGCGAUAAGUAAUGUGAAUUGCAGAAUUCAGUGAAUCAUCGAGUCUUUGAACGCACAUUGCGCCCCCUGGCAUUCCGGGGGGCAUGCCUGUCCGAGCGUCAUUGCUGCCCUUCAAGCCCGGCUUGUGUGUUGGGUCGUCGUCCCCUCCGGGGGACGGGCCCGAAAGGCAGCGGCGGCACCGCGUCCGGUCCUCGAGCGUAUGGGGCUUUGUUACCCGCUCGAUAAGGACCGGCCGGGCGCCAGCCGGCGUCUCCAACCUUUUUUUCUCAGGUUGACCUCGGAUCAGGUAGGGAUACCCGCUGAACUUAAGC